GGGGGUGUCGGUGAUCGGCAUAUUGGGCGUAAGGGCUCGCAGGCGGUUUCUUAAGUCUGAUGUGAAAGCCCCCGGCUCAACCGGGGAGGGUCAUUGGAAACUGGGAAACUUGAGUGCAGAAGAGGAGAGUGGAAUUCCACGUGUAGCGGUGAAAUGCGUAGAGAUGUGGAGGAACACCAGUGGCGAAGGCGACUCUCUGGUCUGUAACUGACGCUGAGGAGCGAAAGCGUGGGGAGCGAACAGGAUUAGAUACCCUGGUAGUCCACGCCGUAAACGAUGAGUGCUAAGUGUUAGGGGGUUUCCGCCCCUUAGUGCUGCAGCUAACGCAUUAAGCACUCCGCCUGGGGAGUACGGUCGCAAGACUGAAACUCAAAGGAAUUGACGGGGGCCCGCACAAGCGGUGGAGCAUGUGGUUUAAUUCGAAGCAACGCGAAGAACCUUACCAGGUCUUGACAUCCUCUGACAACCCUAGAGAUAGGGCUUUCCCUUCGGGGACAGAGUGACAGGUGGUGCAUGGUUGUCGUCAGCUCGUGUCGUGAGAUGUUGGGUUAAGUCCCGCAACGAGCGCAACCCUUGAUCUUAGUUGCCAGCAUUCAGUUGGGCACUCUAAGGUGACUGCCGGUGACAAACCGGAGGAAGGUGGGGAUGACGUCAAAUCAUCAUGCCCCUUAUGACCUGGGCUACACACGUGCUACAAUGGACAGAACAAAGGGCUGCAAGACCGCAAGGUUUAGCCAAUCCCAUAAAUCUGUUCUCAGUUCGGAUCGCAGUCUGCAACUCGACUGCGUGAAGCUGGAAUCGCUAGUAAUCGCGGAUCACAUGCGCGGGGGGAAAAAUCCUUUCCCGGGGCCUUGUACACACCGCCCGUCACACCACCGAGAGUUUGCAACACCCGAAGUCCGGUGAGGUAACCUUUAUGGAGCCAGCCGCCGAAGGUGGGGCAGAUGAUGGGUGAUAGAAAAAGACCCCGGGGGGGGCGCGCGCGAGAAAAAGGGGGGCGAAA
rnacentral:rRNA from 1 species